GGAGAGGUGUCCGAGUGGCUGAAGGAGCACGCUUGGAAAGCGUGUAAGUCGGCAACGGCUUCGCGGGUUCGAAUCCCGCCCUCUCCGCCA
rnacentral:tRNA from 2 species